rnacentral:rRNA from 1 species
GACGAACGCUGGCGGCGUGCUUAACACAUGCAAGUCGAACGGAAAGGCCCUGCUUUUGUGGGGUGCUCGAGUGGCGAACGGGUGAGUAACACGUGAGUAACCUGCCAUUGACUUUGGGAUAACUUCAGGAAACUGGGGCUAAUACCGGAUAGGAGCUCUUGCUGCAUGGUGGGGGUUGGUAAGUUUCGGCGGUUGGGGAUGGACUCGCGGCUCAUCAGCUUGUUGGUGUGGUAGUGGCUUACCAAGGCCUUGACGGGUAGCCUGCCUGGGAGGGUGACCGGCCACAUUGGGCCUGAGCUACGGCCCAGACUCCUACGGGAGGCAGCAGUGGAGAAUAUUGCACAAGGGGCUGGAGCCUGGUGCAGCAACGCCGCGUGCGGGAUGACGGCCUGCGGGUUGUAAACCGCUGUCGCCUGUCACGAAGUGUGAAUGACGGUAAUGGGUAAAGAAGCACCGGCUAACUACGUG